rnacentral:precursor_RNA from 14 species
GGUGCACCGACAAGUCUGGCGCUCGUUUUCUCUUUGGUUAUCUAGCUGUAUGAGUGUUCUAGACAUUAUAAAGCUAGGUUACCAAAGACAAAAACAGAUGCCGUAAUUCAACUGAACACU